UGGGGAAUAUUGGACAAUGGGCGAAAGCCUGAUCCAGCCAUGCCGCGUGUGUGAAGAAGGUCUUCGGAUUGUAAAGCACUUUAAGUUGGGAGGAAGGGCAGUAAGCGAAUACCUUGCUGUUUUGACGUUACCGACAGAAUAAGCACCGGCUAACUCUGUGCCAGCAGCCGCGGUAAUACAGAGGGUGCAAGCGUUAAUCGGAAUUACUGGGCGUAAAGCGCGCGUAGGUGGUUCGUUAAGUUGAAAGUGAAAGCCCCGGGCUCAACCUGGGGACUGCAUCCAAAACUGGCUAGCUAGAGUAGGGCAGAGGGUGGUGGAAUUUCCUGUGUAGCGGUGAAAUGCGUAGAUAUAGGAAAGAACACCAGUGGCGAAGGCUACCACCUGGGCUCAUACUGACUCUAAGGUGCGAAAGCGUGGGGAGCAAACAGG
rnacentral:rRNA from 1 species